UGAACGCUAGCUACAGGCUUAACACAUGCAAGUCGCGGGGCAGCAUGGUCUUAGCUUGCUAAGGCCGAUGGCGACCGGCGCACGGGUGAGUAACACGUAUCCAACCUGCCGUCUACUCUUGGACAGCCUUCUGAAAGGAAGAUUAAUACAAGAUGGCAUCAUGAGUCCGCAUGUUCACAUGAUUAAAGGUAUUCCGGUAGACGAUGGGGAUGCGUUCCAUUAGAUAGUAGGCGGGGUAACGGCCCACCUAGUCUUCGAUGGGUAGGGGUUCUGAGAGGAAGGUCCCCCACAUUGGAACUGAGACACGGUCCAAACUCCUACGGGAGGCAGCAGUGAGGAAUAUUGGUCAAUGGGCGAGAGCCUGAACCAGCCAAGUAGCGUGAAGGAUGACUGCCCUAUGGGUUGUAAACUUCUUUUAUAAAGGAAUAAAGUCGGGUAUGGAUACCCGUUUGCAUGUACUUUAUGAAUAAGGAUCGGCUAACUCCGUGCCAGCAGCCGCGGUAAUACGGAGGAUCCGAGCGUUAUCCGGAUUUAUUGGGUUUAAAGGGAGCGUAGAUGGAUGUUUAAGUCAGUUGUGAAAGUUUGCGGCUCAACCGUAAAAUUGCAGUUGAUACUGGAUAUCUUGAGUGCAGUUGAGGCAGGCGGAAUUCGUGGUGUAGCGGUGAAAUGCUUAGAUAUCACGAAGAACUCCGAUUGCGAAGGCAGCCUGCUAAGCUGCAACUGACAUUGAGGCUCGAAAGUGUGGGUAUCAAACAGGAUUAGAUACCCUGGUAGUCCACACGGUAAACGAUGAAUACUCGCUGUUUGCGAUAUACAGCAAGCGGCCAAGCGAAAGCGUUAAGUAUUCCACCUGGGGAGUACGCCGGCAACGGUGAAACUCAAAGGAAUUGACGGGGGCCCGCACAAGCGGAGGAACAUGUGGUUUAAUUCGAUGAUACGCGAGGAACCUUACCCGGGCUUAAAUUGCAGAUGAAUUACGGUGAAAGCCGUAAGCCGCAAGGCAUCUGUGAAGGUGCUGCAUGGUUGUCGUCAGCUCGUGCCGUGAGGUGUCGGCUUAAGUGCCAUAACGAGCGCAACCCUUGUUGUCAGUUACUAACAGGUUCUGCUGAGGACUCUGACAAGACUGCCAUCGUAAGAUGUGAGGAAGGUGGGGAUGACGUCAAAUCAGCACGGCCCUUACGUCCGGGGCUACACACGUGUUACAAUGGGGGGUACAGAGGGCCGCUACCACGCGAGUGGAUGCCAAUCCCCAAAACCUCUCUCAGUUCGGACUGGAGUCUGCAACCCGACUCCACGAAGCUGGAUUCGCUAGUAAUCGCGCAUCAGCCACGGCGCGGUGAAUACGUUCCCGGGCCUUGUACACACCGCCCGUCAAGCCAUGGGAGCCGGGGGUACCUGAAGUGCGUAACCGCGAGGAGCGCCCUAGGGUAAAACUGGUGACUGGGGCU
rnacentral:rRNA from 1 species